AUUGAACGCUGGCGGCAGGCCUAACACAUGCAAGUCGAACGAGUGGCGGACGGGUGAGUAAUGUCUGGGCAACUGCCCGAUGGAGGGGGCUAACUACUGGAAACGGUAGCCAAUUCCGCAUACCAUCGGAUGUGCCCAGGUGGGAUGAGCUAGUAGGUGGGGUAAUGGCCUACCAAGGCAACGAUACAUAGCCAACCUGAGAGGUAGAGCGGCCACACGGGGACUGGGACCCGGCCCAGCCUCCUACGGGAGGCAGCAGUGGGGAACCUUCGGCAAUGGGGGAAACCCUGAGCGAGAAACGCCGCGUGAGGGAAGAAGGCCUUCGGGUUGUAAAGUACUUUCAGCGAGGAGGCGUUACUCGCAUAAAAAGCACCGGCUAACUCCGUGCCAGCAGCCGCGGUAAUUC
rnacentral:rRNA from 1 species